rnacentral:rRNA from 1 species
UACGUAGGGUGCGAGCGUUUGUCCGGAAUUUAUUGGGCGUAAAGGGCUCGUAGGCGGUUUUGUCGCGUCGGGAGUGAAAACCCAGGGCUUAACCCUGGGCUGGCUUCCGAUACGGGCAGACUAGAGGUAUGCAGGGGAGAACGGAAUUCCUGGUGUAGCGGUGAAAUGCGUAGAUAUCUGGAGGAACACCGGUGGCGAAGGCGGCAUCCUGGACCAAUACUGACGCUGAGGAGCGAAAGGCCAGGGGAGCAAACGGG